ACACGGAGGGUGCAAGCGUUAUUCGGAAUCACUGGGCGUAAAGGACGCGUAGGCGGGUUGGCAAGUCAGAUGUGAAAUCCUACAGCUUAACUGUAGAACUGCAUUUGAAACUGCUAACCUAGAGUAUGGGAGGGGGAGAUGGAAUUAGUGGUGUAGAGGUAAAAUCCGUAGAUAUCACUAGGAAUACCGAAAGCGAAGGCGAUCUCCUGGAACAUAACUGACGCUAAGGCGUGAAAGCGUGGGGAGCAAACAGGAUUAGAAACCCCAGUAGUCC
rnacentral:rRNA from 1 species